CAGUCGCCGCGGGAACACGAAGGGGGCUAGCGUUGUUCGGAAUUACUGGGCGUAAAGCGCACGUAGGCGGACAUUUAAGUCAGGGGUGAAAUCCCGGGGCUCAACCUCGGAACUGCCUUUGAUACUGGGUGUCUCGAGUCCGGAAGAGGUAAGUGGAACUGCGAGUGUAGAGGUGAAAUUCGUAGAUAUUCGCAAGAACACCAGUGGCGAAGGCGGCUUACUGGUCCGGUACUGACGCUGAGGUGCGAAAGCGUGGGGAGCAAACAGGAUUAGAUACCCCAGUAGUCCCUGUCUCUUAUAC
rnacentral:rRNA from 1 species